UUGGUGCUGUGAUUGUAAACAUAAUUCCUCGUUCUGAAUGCCGUCGAGAUCGAUCGGCAUGACAGACUCAAUUUACACCCAUAGAAUAUGAGCACC